rnacentral:misc_RNA from 1 species
UUAAGUUCAGCGGGUCUUCCUACCUGAUCCGAGGUCAACCUUGGGUAAAUAAGGCGUUUAACGGCCGGAACCCGCAGCACUCCCAGAGCGAGAUGUAACUACUACGCUCAGAGUCUUAGCGAGCCCGCCACUGAAUUUCAGAGCCUACCGCUUUAUACAAACGGUAGUGCUCCAACACCAAGCAAGGCUUGAGGGGUGAA